GACGAACGCUGGCGGCGUGCUUAACACAUGCAAGUCGAACGGAAAGGCCCUGCUUUUGUGGGGUGCUCGAGUGGCGAACGGGUGAGUAACACGUGAGUAACCUGCCCUUGACUUUGGGAUAACUUCGGGAAACUGGGGCUAAUACCGGAUAGGAGCUCCUGCUGCAUGGUGGGGGUUGGAAAGUUUCGGCGGUUGGGGAUGGACUCGCGGCUUAUCAGCUUGUUGGUGGGGUAGUGGCUUACCAAGGCUUUGACGGGUAGCCGGCCUGGGAGGGUGACCGGCCACAUUGGGACUGAGAUACGGCCCAGACUCCUACGGGAGGCAGCAGUGGGGAAUAUUGCACAAUGGGCGGAAGCCUGAUGCAGCAACGCCGCGUGCGGGAUGACGGCCUUCGGGUUGUAAACCGCUUUCGCCUGUGACGAAGCGUGAGUGACGGUAAUGGGUAAAGAAGCACCGGCUAACUACGUG
rnacentral:rRNA from 1 species